rnacentral:pre_miRNA from 14 species
UCUCCGGAGAUGAGGGUGGUAGCCGAUCCUGGACGAGCCCCCAAAUGAAAGAUCCCUGCAGCCUGGAGACCCUCACUCAAGUUUUGGGAUGGCAUGAUCCCCCCAAAGGACUCACAUGAAACC